rnacentral:rRNA from 1 species
GUAUUCCUACGGGAGGCAGCAGUGGGGGAUAUUGCACAAUGGGGGGAACCCUGAUGCAGCGACGCCGCGUGGGUGAAGAAGUAUUUCGGUAUGUAAAGCCCUAUCGGCAGGGAAGAAAUUGGACGGUACCUGACUAAGAAGCCCCGGCUAACUACGUGCCAGCAGCCGCGGUAAUACGUAGGGGGCAAGCGUUAUCCGGAUUCACUGGGUGUAAAGGGAGCGUAGACGGCCAUUCAAGCCUGGAGUGAAAGCCCGGGGCCCAACCCCGGGACUGCUCUGGGGACCGUGCGG